UGUUGGUGGAGAAUUCCAGCCGGGAGAACUGUUAAACCAAAUUUGGGGCCGCCCGAGAUUCUUGGAUCAAUUGCUGAAGAGUCUAUACCAGACGUGGUUGGAAUCAUCAUCUACUGUUGUUGGUUCUUGAAUCCGAACUCACAUCGCCAAAUGGUAACGGAAAGCGACUGAAAUGGCACAGGCGACAUUGUCAGCAGCAUCAACAACAGUGACCCCUUCCUCAAUUUUCUUGAAAUCCCAGAUUCUUCGGAACCAUUCAUGGCACCGCUGCUUUACCCUCGCCGCGAGAAAUGCGAUACCUAUUAGUGGAAGACGGCAUCUUCCUCCUUUUCUACUACCUCCUCGCUUUUGUCUUCAUCUUCAUACUCUUCCGCUUCGCCCUCGCCUUCAUCUUCCUCGUCCUCCUCUUCCUCUUCUGCACCGAUUUCGUGCACCUCCUCUCUCAUCUCCUAUGUCCUCCUUAGCACACUCUUCCCCCUCCCCCAAUACUAAAACUGUUAGAGCUGUGAUUAAGGGGAGGGUGCAGGGAGUUUUCUAUAGGGACUGGACAGUGGAGAAUGCGAAGGAGUUGGGGUUAAAGGGAUGGGUUAGGAACCGAAGGGAUGGAACAGUGGAGGCAUUGUUUUCGGGGAGCCCUGAGAAGGUUGAGGAGAUGGAACGGAGGUGCCGGAGAGGACCACCGGCUGCAAUGGUCACUGGUUUUGAUGUUUUCCCUUGCAAUGAUGACCCAGGAGCUGGGUUUGAACGCAGGUCAACUGCUUGAUCAAAUGGAUACGCUAUCUCUAAGAUGAUACAACCAUUCACGGAAGAAUAAAUCCAAUUUCACAACAGAUUGUCAGCAAAGUGUUCUACAUCAAUCUUCCGUGAAUGUUAUACAUCAAUCCUGGGUGAAUGUAUGUCGGGUAAGAAUUGAAGAAGAGAAGAGGAAAUUCUAAAAUGGAGGGAGAAGAAAACAUAAUACAUAUAUAUACGUGAUUUUAUACUGAAUAUGCACAUGUUCGUAUGUGACGAUUUACAGAAACAUCCUUUAUCAUCAAAAUUACCGCAAUUGAUGAUCACGGAAUGAAAGAGAGAGCUUAGAUGCUGUUUAUGCUGGAAAUUGGCAUCGACAACGGACUAAAAGCUAAGUAUUUCCUUUCCCGCAGAAAA